rnacentral:rRNA from 1 species
GAUGAACGCUGGCGGCGUGCCUAAUACAUGCAAGUCGAGCGAACAGACGAGGAGCUUGCUCCUUUGACGUUAGCGGCGGACGGGUGAGUAACACGUGGAUAACCUACCUAUAAGACUGGGAUAACUUCGGGAAACCGGAGCUAAUACCGGAUAACAUGUUGAACCGCAUGGUUCAACAGUGAAAGACGGUCUUGCUGUCACUUAUAGAUGGAUCCGCGCCGCAUUAGCUAGUUGGUAAGGUAACGGCUUACCAAGGCAACGAUUCGUAGCCGACCUGAGAGGGGGAUCGGCCACACGGGAACUGAGACACGGUCCAGACUCCUACGGGAGGCAGCAGUAGGGAAUCUUCCGCAAUGGGCGAAAGCCUGACGGAGCAACGCGGCGUGAGUGAAGAAGGGCUUCGGAUCGUAAAACGCUGUUAUUAGGGAAGAACAAAUGUGUAAGUAACGAUGCACGUCUGGACGGUACCGAAGCAGAAAGCCACGACUAACUACGU